CGGCCGUAUCACGUUGAAAUAUUGGUUCCCCUACGAUCACCGAAUUUAAGCAACGUCGAGCCUGGUCAGUAUUUAGAUGGAUGUCCGCUUGGGAAUACCAGGUGCUAUA